GAUGAACGCUGGCGGCGUGCCUAAUACAUGCAAGUCGAGCGAACAGACGAGGAGCUUGCUCCUCUGACGUUAGCGGCGGACGGGUGAGUAACACGUGGAUAACCUACCUAUAAGACUGGGAUAACUUCGGGAAACCGGAGCUAAUACCGGAUAAUAUAUUGAACCGCAUGGUUCAAUAGUGAAAGACGGUUUUGCUGUCACUUAUAGAUGGAUCCGCGCCGCAUUAGCUAGUUGGUAAGGUAACGGCUUACCAAGGCGACGAUGCGUAGCCGACCUGAGAGGGUGAUCGGCCACACGGGAACUGAGACACGGUCCAGACUCCUACGGGAGGCAGCAGUAGGGAAUCUUCCGCAAUGGGCGAAAGCCUGACGGAGCAACACCGCGUGAGUGAUGAAGGUCUUCGGAUCGUAAAACUCUGUUAUUAGGGAAGAACAAAUGUGUAAGUAACUAUGCACGUCUUGACGGUACCUAAUCAGAAAGCCACGGCUAACUACGUG
rnacentral:rRNA from 1 species